UACAAAAUGAGGCGUAGACGUAUUCCGACAGCGUACAGCUAACAACGUACGAAUAUGAUCGUACUGUCAACAAAGCCUUACAUAUGGCAUGUAGCUAGCGCCUUUAUGUCACGUCGGCUGCCUUUCAAGUUUGUACGUACCGCCCUGCCCUGUGACGCCCGAACACUAGAUUGGGUCGUCAUCUCUCUCGCAUCGGGCGCGUGUCAAGACUGUUAAUGUUUAAGACAGAAAUUAUCUUAAUCGCCUCCGCCGCAAACUUCCGCUGAUUUUCUUAAGAUCCAUGCUCCGGUAACUCUCCAACUCCCCCCCCCCCGGAAAUAUCGUACAGUCCCUAAACCACAAACAUAAACGUCCAAACAUACAAACGCAUAUCUACUAGGUAACAUCUCACUAAUUUUAUAGAACAUGCAGCGGGAUCCAAUCUAGCAAUGCAAAGGUACGCGUCGGAUACACUUAAGUGCUUGAUGUUUCGCGUCGACAGUCACAUUGUUUGCACGUCAGUCUUUCUUGGCGAUUAGCAGAGUUGUUCUGCCCGAAAAAUAAGCCAAAGCCCAAACCUCCGGAUGAAGAGUAACACAUGACAAUCCAGGUGCCCCAGUCCCGAAGUUUCAUCAUCGAGUAUCGCGUUUCGUGAGCGGCAGACGUCAAAGGGUCUAAUGUUACAUAUGGUGAGCUGAUAUGGUGGUCGGCCACGUUUCUCAAAAGGAUCUUAUGUUACAUGAUUCGUCACGGAGGCGGAGUCAACUGCUACCCUUUGCGUUAUUUGGAAGACCAGUUCUGUCCUACCCGAGACAUCCCAUUCGCUUACUGUGCUGAGGUACUCUCCAAGCAGAGGUUGAAUGGGAAGAUUGUGACCUUUUUCUAUGCCCCGUUUUUUUCUGACAGCCGGCCCAUCCAUCGGUGGCCAAUUUGAUACUGUCGGCCGGCUGGAUACUGUCCGCGUGUUGGAUACUAUCUUUUUAGCCACCAAAAGAUCUGCUUGGAGAUUAGUGCUGAGGCAGGAAAGUAGGUCACUUCCCGCGAAGCUUGACCUCUUCACCCGGUCAAUGGCCUCUCACAGGUAAUUUUGCUGUGUAAGGGAACUCAAAACGCGUAGGUUUUCUCAUCUAAAUAUUACAAUUAGUAUAAUCAAUGACAUUAUCUAUUCACCAAUCAAUGGUUCCUAGUGAUCAGAACGCCCCUCGCAACAAUGUCUAAAUGUUGAUUGAUGUACGUUCCGACUUCAAAAACCAAGACAGCCUCGCUCGGGGUACAGAAGCGAGUUGGAAGAACAAUACUGCUGAAAUCCUCCCGGCCGGUCCGCUGAGAUUCCGGGGCGCAGGGCGCGCUGGGGCACUGGUCAGCGGCCAUCGAUCACUCACAGCACCGAGGAAUUACCGGGGAGGUCGCGGUGGUUACCAGGCUAGCCAACCGACUUUGUCAGCGCGUCCGAUGUUUGCUACUUUUAAAGUAAACCUCAGACAUGCAGCGAGGGAUACCCUACUGUUCUACACUGAACACCGGUGCCGGCAUAUAAGGUUAUGCCCUGUCCGCGCUAAACUGCCCGCACCUGCCAACGACGCAGGGUUCCGAACUGUGAGACCAUCUCAGUGCACGGAGGCAGUUUCACUCUACAUGACGACAAACACAGCAGUUACUCAAUAAUACAAUCAAGAAGUGGAACAAAAUACCAGGUAAACUUCGCCAUGUCCACCCUGAGAUGCAGACUACAGCAGGAGUU